rnacentral:misc_RNA from 1 species
CUACCCUCAAGCACGGCUUGUGUGUUGGGUUCACGUCCCCCCGGGGACGGGCCCGAAAGGCAGUGGCGGCACCGCGUCCAGGUCCUCAAGCGUAUGGGGCUUUGUCACCCGCUUCGAGGGGCCGGCCGGCGCCUUUGGCCAACCAGUUUUUUGUUCCUCCGGGAUCGAAAACACUUCUUUCUUA